AGCAUAUCAAUAAGCGGAGGAAAAGAAACUAACAAGGAUUCCCCUAGUAACUGCGAGUGAAGCGGGAAAAGCUCAAAUUUAAAAUCUGGCGGCUUUUGGCUGUCCGAGUUGUAGUCUGGAGAAGUGCUUUCCGCGCUGGACCGUGUACAAGUCUCUUGGAACAGAGCGUCAUAGAGGGUGAGAAUCCCGUCUUUGACACGGACUACCAGUGCUUUGUGAUGCGCUCUCAAAGAGUCGAGUUGUUUGGGAAUGCAGCUCAAAAUGGGUGGUAAAUUCCAUCUAAAGCUAAAUAUUGGCGAGAGACCGAUAGCGAACAAGUACCGUGAGGGAAAGAUGAAAAGCACUUUGGAAAGAGAGUUAAACAGUACGUGAAAUUGCUGAAAGGGAAACGCUUGAAGUCAGUCGCGUUGACCAGAACUCAGCCUUGCUUUUGCUUGGUGCACUUUCUGGUUGACGGGCCAGCAUCAAUUUUGAUUGUUGGAUAAAGGCUGGGGGAAUGUGGCACCUUCGGGUGUGUUAUAGCCCUCGGUCACAUACAACAGUUGGGAUUGAGGAUCUCAGCACGCCUUUAUGGUCGGGGUUCGCCCACGUUCGUGCUUAGGAUGCUGGCAUAAUGGCUUUAAACGACCCGUCUUGAAACACGGACCAAGGAGUCUAACAUGCCUGCGAGUGUUUGGGUGGAAAACCCGAGCGCGUAAUGAAAGUGAAAGUUGAGAUCCCUGUCAUGGGGAGCAUCGACGCCCGGACCUGACCUUCUGUGACGGCUCCGCGGUAGAGCAUGUAUGUUGGGACCCGAAAGAUGGUGAACUAUGCCUGAAUAGGGUGAAGCCAGAGGAAACUCUGGUGGAGGCUCGUAGCGAUUCUGACGUGCAAAUCGAUCGUCAAAUUUGGGUAUAGGGGCGAAAGACUAAUCGAACCAUCUAGUAGCUGGUUC
rnacentral:rRNA from 1 species